ACUUGGUGUUACUGCGAAGGGGGGACGGAGAAGGCUAUGUUGGCCGGGCGACGGUUGUCCCGGUUUAAGCGUGUAGGCUGGUUUUCCAGGCAAAUCCGGAAAAUCAAGGCUGAGGCGUGAUGACGAGGCACUACGGUGCUGAAGCAACAAAUGCCCUGCUUCCAGGAAAAGCCUCUAAGCAUCAGGUAACAUCAAAUCGUACCCCAAACCGACACAGGUGGUCAGGUAGAGAAUACCAAGGCGCUUGAGAGAACUCGGGUGAAGGAACUAGGCAAAAUGGUGCCGUAACUUCGGGAGAAGGCACGCUGAUAUGUAGGUGAAGCGACUUGCUCGUGGAGCUGAAAUCAGUCGAAGAUACCAGCUGGCUGCAACUGUUUAUUAAAAACACAGCACUGUGCAAACACGAAAGUGGACGUAUACGGUGUGACGCCUGCCCGGUGCCGGAAGGUUAAUUGAUGGGGUCAGCGCAAGCGAAGCUCUUGAUCGAAGCCCCGGUAAACGGCGGCCGUAACUAUAACGGUCCUAAGGUAGCGAAAUUCCUUGUCGGGUAAGUUCCGACCUGCACGAAUGGCGUAAUGAUGGCCAGGCUGUCUCCACCCGAGACUCAGUGAAAUUGAACUCGCUGUGAAGAUGCAGUGUACCCGCGGCAAGACGGAAAGACCCCGUGAACCUUUACUAUAGCUUGACACUGAACAUUGAGCCUUGAUGUGUAGGAUAGGUGGGAGGCUUGGAAGUGUGGACGCCAGUCUGCAUGGAGCCGACCUUGAAAUACCACCCUUUAAUGUUUGAUGUUCUAACGUUGACCCGUAAUCCGGGUUGCGGACAGUGUCUGGUGGGUAGUUUGACUGGGGCGGUCUCCUCCUAAAGAGUAACGGAGGAGCACGAAGGUUGGCUAAUCCUGGUCGGACAUCAGGAGGUUAGUGCAAUGGCAUAAGCCAGCUUGACUGCGAGCGUGACGGCGCGAGCAGGUGCGAAAGCAGGUCAUAGUGAUCCGGUGGUUCUGAAUGGAAGGGCCAUCGCUCAACGGAUAAAAGGUACUCCGGGGAUAACAGGCUGAUACCGCCCAAGAGUUCAUAUCGACGGCGGUGUUUGGCACCUCGAUGUCGGCUCAUCACAUCCUGGGGCUGAAGUAGGUCCCAAGGGUAUGGCUGUUCGCCAUUUAAAGUGGUACGCGAGCUGGGUUUAGAACGUCGUGAGACAGUUCGGUCCCUAUCUGCCGUGGGCGCUGGAGAACUGAGGGGGGCUGCUCCUAGUACGAGAGGACCGGAGUGGACGCAUCACUGGUGUUCGGGUUGUCAUGCCAAUGGCACUGCCCGGUAGCUAAAUGCGGAAGAGAUAAGUGCUGAAAGCAUCUAAGCACGAAACUUGCCCCGAGAUGAGUUCUCCCUGACUCCUUGAGAGUCCUGAAGGAACGUUGAAGACGACGACGUUGAUAGGCCGGGUGUGUAAGCGCAGCG
rnacentral:rRNA from 1 species